AUUGAACGCUGGCGGCAUGCUUUACACAUGCAAGUCGGACGAGUGGCGAACGGGUGAGUAACGCAUCGGAACGUACCGAGUAAUGGGGGAUAACUACCCGAAAGGACAGCUAAUACCGCAUAUUAUUCGAGCGGCCGAUGUGUGAUUGGCUGGUUGGCGGGGUAAAGGCACACCAAGGCGACGAGCAGUAGCGGGUCGGAGAGGAUGAUCAGCCACGCUGGGACUGGGACACGGCCCAGACUCCUACGGGAGGCAGCAGUGGUGAAUUUGUGACAAGGGGCGCAAGCCUGAUCCAGCCAUGCCGCGUGUCUGAAGAAGGCCUUCGGGUUGUAAAGGACUUUUGUCAGGGAAGCGGUACCUGAAGAAUAAGCACCGGCUAACUACGUGCCAGCCGCCGCGGUAAUUC
rnacentral:rRNA from 1 species